rnacentral:rRNA from 1 species
AACGAACGCUGGCGGCAGGCCUAACACAUGCAAGUCGAGCGCCCCGCAAGGGGAGCGGCGGACGGGUGAGUAACACGUGGGAAUUUUCCUCAAGGUACGGAACAACUCAGGGAAACUUGGGCUAAUACCGUAUGAUGCAGAGAUGCCAAAGAUUUAUCGCCUUGGGAUAAGCCCGCGUCAGAUUAGGUAGUUGGUGGGGUAAUGGCCUACCAAGCCUGUGAUCUGUAGCUGGUCUGAGAGGACGAUCAGCCACAUUGGGACUGAGACACGGCCCAAACUCCUACGGGAGGCAGCAGUGGGGAAUCUUGCGCAAUGGGCGAAAGCCUGACGCAGCCAUGCCGCGUGAAUGAUGAAGGUCUUAGGAUUGUAAAGUUCUUUAGCCUGUGACGAUGAUGACGGUAACAGGAGAAUAAGCCCCGGCUAACUUCGUGCCAGCAGCCGCGGGUAAUGCACGACUGU